GUGUGCUGGAACAACAAUGGAAGUCUGACGUUGUAACUAGCAGGACUUAAAUGAUCUGCUGCUAAUUUGUGCCAGAUACCACAGGACACAUUCAGAGGUCUUGUGGAGUCCAUGUCCAUGUCUCAACACAUCAGAGCUGCACAAGGCAGGACCCACACAAUGUUAAGCACGUGAUUUUUAAUGUUGUAGCCCGAUCAGUGUAUAUGAGUGUAUAUGAGAGCUUUGCAGUACAAAAACUCACAUAGUGUCUAAGUGUAUUGCAAAGUUGCAAAGCAAU